rnacentral:sRNA from 1 species
UAACAUACAGUUGUACCUUAGGUUCAAUUUUCUUACUAGGUAGACACACAAUCAUUCAGUAGUUUUUGUGUUCUUUAUGUAGAGAUGGUUCUGUGUGGGCUAAUUUACUAUUAAAUGUACAAAGAUUUAUAUGCAUUGACAUGAAAUAAACACUAAAUUUCUAAUCUUUUUUUUUUCAUUGUACAAUAUGAGAAAAAUAUGAUAUGAAUGAAUUAUAUAUUAGCUAUUCAUGAUUAUUGUAAAACAAUGUGGAUACUAUACUAAUAAAUAAGGUCAUUACUGAUUAGAGGAUUGAAGAUUGAGACAAAUAUGCACCGCAAUUACAUGAACGUAUGUGUUAGCAGUAUAUUUUAACCAAUUACAUUGUAAAAGCAGCAGAAAAGGUUUGAUAAAUAUGGCAUUUAUUUUUAAUUGCUUUGAAAGUUUAAUUCUGUGUGGUAUAUUUUGUGAGUUAAUUAUGUAUGAAAGUUUUUAUAUAAACAUUUUAAGGAAACACUGAUAACAUGUGUCUUCUGUUCUUGGGGACAAUUAAGUGUGUCAUCAAGUUUUUUUUUCAGUUUUGUUACCCUGUUUUAUCUAUUGUUUUGUAUUCAUUUAGUGUACUAUAAGGUCUGUCCAUGGUUAGUUAAAUUUAAUGUAUUUCAGCUGCCAUUUAGCCAUGGCCAGACACUGACAAGAUUCUAUAGCAGCCAGGAUAUUAAUGAUAUCGAUCUUUUUGAAAUUGGUGGGACAGUCAGUUUUCAGCUCACCAAGACGAAGUCCAGGGGAGAUUAUGCUAUACCCUCUGCACCGACGUUCGGUUAAAAACCAUUAAAUAUAAUUUUCAUAAUUUAAUAAAGGUGGCCUCUUAACGAUGAUGCCUCGUCUCGGUGAGCUUUGUAAUCUAUGACUACCUACUAGUAUGUUUAUCUGUUAUAUUUGGAUGAGCUGUCAUCAAUAAAUGAUGAUUUUCUUACAGAUUCUUUUAUUAAUCCUUGUCAUUUGUAUAUACUUUUAUUGAUAAAGUUAUUGACUGAUGAUGUAUUCUUCUGGACCGUUUCUUGUCACGUUCACCUUAUCCGUUGCUUGCUUGUUUUACCAUAGUAUUUUUAUCUUUAGUCAAUUAUUUUGUGAGGAACACUGAAUUAAUAAAUCAGAAAACUGUU